CAAAUAUGGUAGUGAGAGGAAGUCCAGUUGUGGGUAGUGGGAGAGGAUGGAACUAGUUGAAAUUGGGCCGACAUUCUGCUAAUUUGCUCAUCGGUGAAUCAAAGAUGCUUUGUAGGAGUGUAAGGUGCUUUUUAGGAGUGUAAGGUCUAAUUAAUUUUGUGCACAUGCACACUUCACAGAGAAGGUAGUCCCUAACGGGAAUAUGCAAAUUCAUGCUACACCGCGCCGAUAGGGUCUCGCUAGCUCUUGCUGGGCUUUGCGGACCUCCUUGCUCGUCGAUUAUGCUUAAUUUGCUUCCACAGUAAAUGACACAAAUGAACUUUCUUGGAAUCCCAUAAAGUAUCAGACUCCAGGAUGGGAAAAUGCUUAACAAGAAAGAAACAGAUGAAGACAGAUAAGGGGACCAUGAGACCCUAUGUUGUGUUUUAAAUAGUUAAUCUGUUGUGAAUUUCUAUUCUGACUUGUAAUGUUAAAAAAAGGGGAGUUAAUCUGAACUAGCUAGACUACUCACUAGACCAAAUGAUAGGCUACAGAUUUGAGUCGCUACAAUUCAAAUUCCCAAUGUACGUUUCUAUUAAAUGACAUUUUGUUCUUACUA